rnacentral:ncRNA from 2 species
GAUGAGAUUCAUCCCGUGAGUUUUCCAACGAGGUAAGAGGGAAGUCGGCGAAAUUCCGACACAGGGCCGCUGCUGUGAUCAGCUAUUGAUCUGUUCAUAAUGUCACUGCCCACGGAUGAUCACUCCGGGGUGGGAAGACGAACAGAUCCUCAUGCUGUCAGUCAGAAGACCUGCCAGAACUUUGCUGAUCGG